ensembl:lncRNA
UAUUGGUGUUGAACAUCUUUAUAUGUGCUUAGUUGCCAUCUUCACAUCCUCUUUGGUAAAAUUUUUAAGUCUUUUGUUCGCUUUUUUAUUGAAGCCAUCUUUCACCAUUGUGAUAUUGGAUAUGUUUUUUUUUUUGUUUAUUUUUAUAGAUGCUUGUUAGCAAUUUAAAUAAUUUGUCUUCUAUUUCUACUUUGCUUGGGGUUUUUUUUUUUGUUUUCAUGAAAGGAUAUUGAACUUUUCAAGCAGUUUUUCUGCAUUAACUUAUAUAAUUGUGUGUGGUUUUUCUUCUUUGGCCUGUUCAUAUGGAAAUUAUGUUAAAUGAUUUUCAAAUUUAAACCAUUCUUACAGUCUUGAAAAUAAUCCCAUGUAAUUGUGGUGAAUUAUUCUUUUUAUUGCUGGAAUCAGUUUGUUCGUAUUCUGUUGAGGAUACUGUUUCUAUGUUAAUGAUGGAUGAUGGACUCUAAUUUUCUUCUCUUUUUCAUUGACUCAAGAAUGAACCUAGACUACACAUUCAACUUUAUAGUACUGCUUCCUUAAGUUUCUUCUUCACCAUGAUCUCUGUGACAUUUUCGGGCCCCCAGGAACCUCUACUGGUCUUGUGACUGGAAAGCUGGAGUUUGCUUUUCCCUACUCUAUGGCAUAUUUGGGGCUUCCCUGGUGGCUCAGAUUGUAAAGAAUCCACCUGCAAUUCGGGAGUCCUGGGUUUGAUCCCUGGUCAGGAAGAUCCCCUGGAGAAGGGAAUGGCAACCCACUCUAGUAUUCUUGCCUAGAGAAUCUCAUGGACAGAAGAGCCUGAUGGGCUAUAGUCCAUGGGGUCACAAACUGUCGGACACGACCAAGUGACUAACACUAACCUAUCCUAUGGCAUAUUUCUGACUUUGUCGACCUUCAAAGCCAAGCAGGAGGAGGGAAAGAUAGAGAUAAAAAUCAAUGCAAAAGACUCCUGUACUCUUGGAACUAUAGUCCUUUUGGUCAGAGGGAAGGGUUCUGUUCCCUUGUAGUUUUAGGUUCCUGUUCAGCUGCUGUUGCCAUUGCUGUCACUAUCACCAUCAUAGCGAUGCUUUUGAAUUUUGGUACCUACAGGUUUAGGUGGAGAAGAUAGAAAUAACUAAAAAUAUGGGGGAUUCCCUCUAUUAUCUCUGAGCUUUAUGGGUCCUCUUGCUUCUUCUCAAACAAGGAAGAGAGAGUUUCUUUUAGAGAUCUUUUUCACCACCCGUAGUACACAGUUCCAGGUUUCAUUGCCUUUAAUUACAGACUAAGGGACAGUGGAGUAGGAAAAGAUAACAGGAAAUUUGCCCAUGAAUCUAUCUUAUUUGGAGUUUUGAUUUUCUUAUGCAAUUUUCCUAUUUUUUCCCUCCAAAAUCUUUAAUAGCUCCUCCAUAUAUUUUUUUUUUCUAUCAUUUUUAGUUGUAUUCAGUGGAAAUAACCGGAGAAGGCAAGAGUACUGGAGUGGGGCGCCAUUGCCUUCUCCGUAUGAAUAUCUAAAUAGAUGCAAAAACUUUUGACAAAAUUCAACAUCAAUUCUCAACCAAAUGGGUAUCAAAGGAACAUUCCUCAACAUAAGAAGAGCCAUAUAUGACAAACCCACAGCUGUCACCAUAUUCAAUGAUAAAAAGCUGAAAGCAUUUUCUGUAAAAUCAGGACCAAGACAAGGACCCCCACUUCUGCCAUUUUUAUUCUAAAUAUUGGAAGUCCUAGUCACAGUAAUCAGACAAGAAAAAUAAAUAAAAUGAAUCCAAAUUGGAAGUGAAGAAGGAAAACUUUCACUCUUUGUAGAGGACAUAAUGUUAUGUAUAGAAAACUUGGAAAACACCACCAAAAAAUUAUUAGGACUAAUAAAUUCAGUAAAGUUGCAGGAUGCAAAAUUAAUAUAUGAAACUCUUUUGUGUCUCUACAUUAACAGUGAACUAUCAGAAAGAGAAAUUAAUAAAGCAGUCUCAUUUAUAAUUGUAUAAAAAAAAAUACCUGGGAAUAAGUAUAACCAAGGAGGUAAAAGAUCUGUACUUGGAAACUAUAAGAUGUUGAUGAAAGAAGUUGAAGAUGGCAUAAAUGGAAAGACAGAUCAUCCUCGUGGAUUAGUACUGAUAUUGUUAAAAUGACCAUACUACCCAAAGCCAUAUACAGAUUUAAUGCAACCCUUGUUAAAAUACCACUGGAAUUUUUUUCACAGAACUAGAACAAAUAAUUCCAAAAUUUGUAGACCCCAAAUGCCUUGAGAAAAAAGAACAAGGUUGGAAGUAUCAUGGUUCCUGAUUAAAAAUUAUACUACAAAACUACAUUCAUAAAAACAAUAUGGUACUGGCACAAAAACAGACACAUAUGUAAUAGAGAUGCAAUGUAAUAGACACAAUGUAAUAGAGAGCCCAGAAAUGAAUCUACACUUAUAUGGGCAAUUAAUCUAUGAGAAAGGAGGCAAGACAAUAUCUUCAAAAACGGAUGCUGGCGAAACUAGACAGCUGUAUGCAAAAGAACCAGGUUGGACCACUUUGUUACUUCAUACACAAAAACAAACUUAAAAUGGGUUAAAAGCUAAAUGCAAGACCUGAAACCAUAAACAUCUUAGCAGAAAAUAUAAGCUGAAUACUCUUUAACACUAGUCUUAGCAAUAUCUUUUUGUAUGUAUCUCCUCAGGCAAGGGAAACAAAAAUAAACAAAUGGAACUACUUCAAGUCAAAAAGUUUUUGCCCAGGGAAAGAAACUAUCAACAAAAUGAAAGCACUGCUUACUGAAUGGGAGAAGAUAGUUGCAAAUGAUAUAUCUGAUAAGGGAUUUAUGACCAAAAUAUACAAAAAACUCAUACAACUCAACAUUAAUAAAAAAAAAAAAACAAAAAACCACAACUCUAACAGAAAAUGGGCAGAAGACCUGAAUAAACAUUUUUUUCCAAAGAAGACAUACAAAUGGCUAACAGGCAUGUGAGAAGAUGCCCAAUAUUACUAAUUAUUAGGGAAAUACAAAUCAAAGCUACAAUGAGAUACUGCCUCACACCCAUUGGAACGGCGAUCAUCAAAAAGACCACAAAGGAUGUGGAGAAAAAGGCACCCGCGUGCAGUAUUGGAAGGACUGUGAACUGGCACAGCUACUAUGGAAAACAGUACGAAGUUUCCUCAAAAAAUUAAAAAUAAAACUACCAUGUGAUCCAGCAAGUCCACUUUGGGGUAUUUUUUUCAAAGAAAACAAAAACACUAACUCUAAAAGAUACAGGUACCCAUAUGUUCAUCGCAGCAUUAGCCAAGAUAUGGAAGUAACUUAAAUGUUCAUUCUCGAUAGAUGAAUGGACAAAGAAGAUUAGAUAGACAGAAGAUAGAUAUACAAUAGACUAUUACACAGCCCUCAACCCACAAUGAAAUCUUGUCAUCUGUGGCAACACGAUGGACCUAGAGGCUCUCAUGCUAAGUGAGGUGAGUCGGAUAGAGAAAGGGAAAUACGAUAUGCCUUCAUUUACAUGCGGAAGCCAAAACACAAAAGAAGUGAACGAAUAUAACAAAACAGAAAUAGACUAAUACAUACAGAGAAAAGGUGAUUGCCAGAGCGGGGAGGAAAACAAAACAAAACAAACCCCCGAGAUGGUAACUAUGGGAGGGAAUGAUUUCUAAUUAGCUUGAUUGUGGUGAUCACUUUACAAUGUGUAUUUAUAUGAAACAACCAUGCUGUACACCUUCAAUGCAUAUUUUUGUCAAUUAUAUCUCAAUUAAGUUGAAAAAAGAAAAAAAAAAUGUAUCCUUCACCCGGAUUAAGCUCCUCUGUGCUGGAGAAGGCAAUGGCACCCCACUCCAGUACUCUUGCCUGGAAAAUCCCAUGGACGGAGGAGACUGGAGGGCUGCAGUCCAUGGGGUCGCUAAGAGUCAUAUACGACUGAGCGACUUCACUUUCACUUUUCACCUUCAUGCAUUGGAGAAGAAAAUGGCAACCCACUCCAGUGUUCUUGCCUGGAGAACCCCAGGGACGGGGGAGCCUGGUGGGCUGCCGUCUAAGGGGUCGCACAGAGUCGGACACGACUGAAAUGACUUAGCAGCAGCAGCAGCAGCAGCUGCUGGUUAAGAUCACGCUCAGUUAGGGUAGGUGUGGGUGAUCAGCUUUUUCUUCCUUGUCUCCUCAUCUUGUUUCCGUCUACUGCGCUGGCCAGCCUCUAAUUCCUGGUUGACUCAAGGAGGCAGGAAGAUAAAGGGAAUAGAGAAGGUUUUACUAGGUCUGUACUACUGUCAUCUGGUUUGGUGCCCUCUGGGUGUGUGGCUCAUGUUCAAAUGCUCAUCCCCCACCCCUACACAUAUACACAGUAUGGACGUGUAGUGUAGUCUUCUGUGGUUUGUAGUUUUCUGCCCUGGACUGUGCUUCCUCCAGCUGGAACCUAUGACUCCUUCCUGGUUCCAAAGUGCACCCCACACAUACCCUCUACUGUGUUAUCUCAUUCUCUGGGAUGGCCUCUGGGCAGAGUCCUGUUCAAGAUUGUGCUUCCUCUUGGGAAGUUCAUGGCUGACCCGUGGUGAGAUUUGCUUUUCUUUGUCUCUGGAAGUGCAGCUGGUUUGCCUUCUUCCUCUAUCAGCGAGAAGUGAAGUGAAGUUGCUCAGUUGUGUAUGAUUCUUUGCGAUCCUAUGGACUAUAGCUUACCAGGCUCCUCCAUCCAUGGCAUUUUCCUCUGGGGUGCUAACAGUCCCACCUGAACCACUUCCCAACUCAGUGUUCACAAUUCAGCUCUUGUCAAGCCCCUUGCAUAAGUACAAGUUCAACUUGUCCACAUUUCACUAAGUAAGCCAGAUAUGUUCCAUGGAGAACAUUGUACUGAUGUAUUUGGAAUUACCUAACUUGAUGAGAGAAGGUGCUAACAGAAUCAGAAGAGAUUAAGAGAGAUGUGCUGUGCUUGUGCUUAGUCACUCAGUUGUGUCCGACUCUUUGUGAGCCCAUGGACUGUAGCCCUCCCGGCUCCUCUAUCCAUGGGAAUUCUCUAGGCAAGAAUACUGGAGUGGGUUGCCAUGGCCUCCUCCAGGGGAUCUUCCCCACCCAGGAAUUGAACUGGGAUCUCCUACAUUGCAGGCAGAUUCUUUACCAGCUGAGCUACCAGGGAAGCCCCAGGGAAGCUACCAGGGAAGAGAGGUGGCAAGAUUACAAAAUGGUACAAAAAGGUCUUAAUGAACCGGAAAAAGCACAAUGGUGUGACCACUCACCUAGAGCCAGACAUCCUGGAGUACAAAGUCAAGUGGGCGUUAAGAAGCAUUAUUAAAAAAAUGCUUUAAUUUUUUCUAAAUUAAAAAAUUUAAUUUUUUAAUUAAAUUAAAAAAUUUAAAGCUAGUGGAGGUGAUGCAAUUAUGGUUGAGCUAUUUCAAAUCCCAGAAGAUGAUGCUGAUAAAGUGCUGCAUUCAAUAUGUCAACAAAUUAGGAAAACUCAGCAGUGGCCACAGGACUGGAAAAGGUCAGUUUUCAUCCCAAUUCCAAAGAAAAGCAAUGCCAAAGAAUGCUCAAACUACUGUACAAUUGUGCUCAUUUCACAUGCUAGCAAGUUAAUGUUCAAAGUCAUUCAAGCUAGGCUUCAACAGUACAUGAACCAAGAACUUCCAGACCUACAAGUUGGAUUUAGAAAAGGCAGAGGAACCAGAGAUCAAAUUGCCAACAAAUGUUGGAUCAAAGAAAAAGCAAGAGAAUUCCAGAAAAACAUCUAUUUCUGCUUCACUGAAUACACUAAAGCCUUUGACUGUGUGGAUCACAAUAAACUGUGGGAAAUUCUGAAAGAGUUGGGAAUACCACCACCUUACCUGUCUCCUGAGAAACCUGUAUGCAGGUCAAGAAGCAACAGUUAGAAUUGGACAUGGAACAACGGACUGGUUCAAAAUUGAGAAAGGAGUAUGUUAAGGCUGUAUAUUGUCACCCUGUUUAUUUAACUUAUAUGCAGAGUACAUCAUGCAAAAUGCUGGGCUGAACGAAGCUCAAACAGAAAUCAAGAUUGCUGGGAGAAAUAUCAAUAACUUCAGAUAUCCACGCUAUGGCAGAAAGUGGAGAGGAACUAAAGAGCCUCUUGAUGAAAGUGAAAGAGGAGAAUGAAAAAGCUGGCUUAAAACUUAACAUUCAGAAAACUAAGAUCAUGGCAUCUGGUCCCAUCACUUUAUGGCAAACAGAUGGGGAAAAAGUGGAAACUGUGACAGAUUUUAUUUUCUUGGGCUCCAAAAUCAUUGCAGGUGGUGACUGCAGCCAUGAAAUUAAAAGAUGCUUGCUCUGUGGAAGGAAAGCUAUGACAAACCUAGACAGUAUAUUAAAAAGUAGAGACAUCACUUUGCUGACAAAGGUCCAUAUAGUCAAAGCUGUGGUUUUUCCAGUAGUCAUGUAUGGAUGGGAAAGUUGGACCAUAAGGAAGGCUGAGUGCUAAAGAAUUGAUGCUUUCCAAUUGUGAUGCUGGAGAAGACUCUGGGACAGCAAAGAGAUCAAACUAGUCAAUUCUAAAGGAAAUCAACCCUGAAUAUUCAUUGGAAAGACUGAUGCUGAAACUGAAACUCCAAUACUUUGGCCACCUGAUGUGAAGAGCAGACUCAGUGAAAAAGACCCUGAUGCUGGGAAAGACUGAGGGCAGGAGGAGAAGGGGAUGACAGAGGACAA